rnacentral:rRNA from 1 species
GACGAACGCUGGCGGCGUGCUUAACACAUGCAAGUCGAACGGAAAGGCCCUGCUUUUGUGGGGUGCUCGAGUGGCGAACGGGUGAGUAACACGUGAGUAACCUGCCCUUGACUUUGGGAUAACUUCAGGAAACUGGGGCUAAUACCGGAUAGGAGCUCCUGCUGCAUGGUGGGGGUUGGAAAGUUUCGGCGGUUGGGGAUGGACUCGCGGCUUAUCAGCUUGUUGGUGGGGUAGUGGCUUACCAAGGCUUUGACGGGUAGCCGGCCUGAGAGGGUGACCGGCCACAUGGGGACUAGGAUACGGCCCAGACCCCUACGGGAGGCAGCAGUGGGGAAUAUUGCACAAGGGGCGGAAGCCUGAUGCAGCAACGCCGCGUGCGGGAUGACGGCCUUCGGGUGGUAAACCGCUUUCGCCUGUGACGAAGCGUGAGUGACGGUAAUGGGUAAAGAAGCACCGGCUAACUACGG